AGUAAUGCCUAGGAAAUUGCCUUGAUGUGGGGGAUAACCAUUGGAAACGAUGGCUAAUACCGCAUAAUGCCUACGGGCCAAAGAGGGGGACCUUCGGGCCUCUCGCGUCAAGAUAUGCCUAGGUGGGAUUAGCUAGUUGGUGAGGUAAUGGCUCACCAAGGCGACGAUCCCUAGCUGGUCUGAGAGGAUGAUCAGCCACACUGGAACUGAGACACGGUCCAGACUCCUACGGGAGGCAGCAGUGGGGAAUAUUGCACAAUGGGCGAAAGCCUGAUGCAGCCAUGCCGCGUGUAUGAAGAAGGCCUUCGGGUUGUAAAGUACUUUCAGUUGUGAGGAAGGGGGUGUCGUUAAUAGCGGCAUCUCUUGACGUUAGCAACAGAAGAAGCACCGGCUAACUCCGUGCCAGCAGCCGCGGUAAUACGGAGGGUGCGAGCGUUAAUCGGAAUUACUGGGCGUAAAGCGCAUGCAGGUGGUUCAUUAAGUCAGAUGUGAAAGCCCGGG
rnacentral:rRNA from 1 species